rnacentral:rRNA from 1 species
GACGAACGCUGGCGGCGUGCUUAACACAUGCAAGUCGAGCGGUAAGGCCCUUUCGGGGUACGACGAGCGGCGAACGGGUGAGUAACACGUGGGUGACCUGCCCUCCAGCUCUGGGAGUAAGCCUGGGAAACCGGGUCUAAUACUGGAUAUGACUCCAUGACGCAUGUUGUGGGGUGGAAAGCCUUGUGCGGCUGAGGAUGGGCCCGCGGCCUAUCAGCUUGUUGGUGGGGUGAGGCCUACCAAGGCGACGACGGGUAGCCGGCCUGAGAGGGCGACCGGCCACACUGGGACUGAGACACGGCCCAGACUCCUACGGGAGGCAGCAGUGGGGAAUCUUGCGCAAUGGGCGAAAGCCUGACGCAGCGACGCCGCGUGAGGGAUGACGGCCUCGG